rnacentral:rRNA from 1 species
CCUACGGGAGGCUGCAGUGGGGAAUAUUGGACAAUGGGCGAAAGCCUGAUCCAGCCAUGCCGCGUGUGUGAAGAAGGCCUUCGGGUUGUAAAGCACUUUCAGUGGGGAAGAAAGCCUUGGGGCUAAUACCCUCGAGGAAGGACAUCACCCACAGAAGAAGCACCGGCUAACUCCGUGCCAGCAGCCGCGGUAAUACGGAGGGUGCGAGCGUUAAUCGGAAUUACUGGGCGUAAAGCGCGCGUAGGCGGUCUGAUAAGCCGGUUGUGAAAGCCCCGGGCUCAACCUGGGAACGGCAUCCGGAACUGUCAGGCUAGAGUGCAGGAGAGGAAGGUAGAAUUCCCGGUGUAGCGGUGAAAUGCGUAGAGAUCGGGAGGAAUACCAGUGGCGAAGGCGGCCUUCUGGACUGACACUGACGCUGAGGUGCGAAAGCGUGAGUAGCAAACAGGAUUAGAUACCCCUGUAGUC